CCAAAGCCGGCACCCUGCGUGGCCGGCCUGCGCCGGGCCCCAGACCCUUCCGUCUUCCGGAAGCGGACGCGAGGCUGGCUGCGACUGGGUGGGCAGCUACUGCAGUGGCGAGCACGGCGGGAGCGAGGAGGAGUAAAGGGGUGCGGGCCUGGCUCCCGCGCCGGAGUGGAGCACCAUGGACGAAGCUGGGAGCUGUGCGAGCGGCGGAGGCUUCCGCCCGGGCGUGGACAGCCUGGACGAGCCGCCCAACAGCCGCAUCUUCUUGGUGAUCAGCAAGUACACGCCCGAGUCGGUGCUGAGGGAGCGCUUCUCGCCCUUCGGGGAGAUCCAAGACAUCUGGGUGGUGCGGGACAAGCACACCAAAGAGUCCAAGGGCAUUGCAUUCGUCAAGUUUGCCCGCAGCUCGCAGGCCUGCAGGGCCAUGGAGGAGAUGCACGGCCAGUGCCUUAGCCCCAGCGACACCAAGCCCAUCAAGGUUUUCAUUGCUCAGUCCAGAUCAUCUGGAAGUCACCGAGAUGUUGAAGAUGAAGAACUUACAAGAAUAUUUGUUAUGAUACCAAAGUCCUACACAGAAGAAGAUCUACGGGAAAAAUUUAAGGUGUAUGGAGAUAUCGAGUAUUGCAGCAUUAUUAAGAAUAAAGUAACUGGAGAAAGUAAAGGCUUGGGCUAUGUUCGAUACUUAAAACCAUCACAGGCUGCCCAAGCAAUAGAAAACUGUGAUCGAAGUUUUAGGGCAAUCUUGGCUGAACCUAAAAAUAAAGCAUCUGAAUCCUCAGAACAAGAUUAUUAUAGUAAUAUGAGGCAGGAGACUUUGGGACAUGAACCUAGAGUGAAUAUGUUUCCAUUUGUUGGAGAACAACAAUCUGAAUUUUCAAGUUUUGACAAGAAUGACAACAGAGGCCAGGAAUCCAUCUCCAAACGCCUGUCAGUUGUAUCAAGAGUUCCUUUCACUGAAGAGCAGCUUUUCAGCAUUUUUGAUAUAGUACCAGGGUUGGAAUACUGUGAAGUUCAACGAGAUCCGUAUUCUAAUUAUGGUCAUGGAGUGGUUCAGUAUUUUAAUGUAGCAUCUGCUAUUUAUGCAAAAUACAAGUUACAUGGAUUUCAGUAUCCUCCUGGGAAUCGGAUAGGUGUUUCCUUCAUUGAUGAUGGGAGUAAUGCAUCAGAUCUCCUUAGAAAAAUGGCAACGCAGAUGGUAGCUGCACAGCUUGCAUCAAUGGUGUGGAAUAACCCAAGUCAGCAGCAAUUUCUGCAAUUUGGAGGAAGUUCUGGAUCACAGCUGCCUCAAAUCCAGACAGAUGUUGUACUUCCGUCAUGCAAAAAAAAAGCCCCUCCUGAAACUCCGGUGAAAGAAAGACUUUUUAUCGUGUUUAAUCCACAUCCUUUACCUUUAGAUGUACUAGAGGAUAUAUUCUGUCGUUUUGGUAACCUGAUCGAAGUUUACCUUGUGUCAGGAAAAAAUGUGGGGUAUGCCAAGUAUGCAGAUAGAGUAAGUGCUAAUGAUGCCAUUACUACUUUACAUGGAAAGAUCCUGAAUGGAGUCAGACUUAAAGUUAUGCUGGCAGACUCCCCAAGAGAAGAAUCUAACAAACGACAAAGAACUUACUGAUUCUUGAGUUGCAGCACGGCUUUUUUUAUUUUUGCUUCGAAUCCCCAUUUACCAUGGACUUCAUAAUGAGAUUCACCUCUUUUGUUGGUACGUUAAAUAAUAUAUUAUUUUAAGGUUCAAUAAGAUAGUAUGAAAGACUUUUCUAAGUUUUACAUGAUUGUAACCAUUGAAGAUUUUAGGGGAGAUGGGGGCCACUUUUUCAUUUGUUUCUUUAAUUUUAAGAGAACACGAACACUACUCAUGAAGGCUAGUUCCUUUUGUCUCUGAGGAGUAAGCCUAGGAUUAACUGAGCCAUGACUAGGAAAUAGGAGAAGAAACUGGUCUAAGAAUAUCACUUUGAAAAUAGCUGAGUUCUAUUUUGAGGUGGAUCUGAUGUGCAAAAUAUGUUUCUUCUUCUAUUUGAGGAAAACAGAAAUUUUAGUAUUUUAGAACAUCCUGAUUUUUGUGUGUGUGUUUUUUUAUAGGUCCAUUUCCUUCUUUUUUAAUCACAUAAAACGGUUUGUACAACUGUCACUUUUUUCACUUCCUAUGUUUUCUAUCUUGACAUAUUGUUUUGAGGAAAUCCCUCUGAAUUUUAUCCUUGUCCCUCAAUUAUGAUUGAACAAUUAUGGUUAGUUGAGUUUAGCUACCCAAAAGAACAAAAUAUUUCAGCGUACAUGCUCUAGUUGGACUCAUGGUUAAGAAGACAGUUACGAACACCCACUCAUCAGCCUGGUGUGUAGGGAUAAAACCCAAAGCUGUCAUCCUCACAUGCAUGAUUUUUGUAUUAAUUUACAAUAUUUUCCCUCCAGAAAUUCAGUACCCGCUUGCAUCAUCCUUCUGAAAACAGUAACUCAAGAACAAUGGAUCCUGGGAACCAAAGGUAUGGUAUUGCUAGGGGGUCAAACAGAAAUAUUUAGUUAAAAUAUGAAAUUGCAGUUCAUUCAUUACAAUGAACAUGCUUUAUUUAAUUAGAAGAGACUUGUCCUCAGGAGAAUAUGCAGUUCCCACUAAAGUUUGAGAAAGUUACCAGGCCCUGCGAAAAUCCAUUUGAGUGGUUAUCACAGGAAAGGGAGUCCAAUGACUGUCGUAUAUGAAUUGCAGCCAGUAUCUAGACGUCCAGGUCCAUGUGAGCUAGCUGACCAAGACUACAACUACUGUGGCACCCUAGAGACUGCCUUUCUGACCACACUGCUGCAAAAGUGGUAGAAGGAAGGCCUCAGGAGGCUGUUUAAGCAAAGUUAUUUGUAUUGGAGAUACAAAAAUCAGGAAUGUGUGAAAAGGCAAGUACUGUUUUCCACAAACAUUGGGAAAAUAUUGAGCACAGUAGGAGAAUCAAAGUGCUUACUCACAGAUACUCCUAUGAAUCUACAUUCUGAGUUGUCCUACCUUUCCGUUUCUGAUUUUGUAGGUAAAUGGUGGUACUACUAAUUUUCUUGCUCAUAUAUUAUCAUUUUCCAAUGUCAGUAAUACACAGGUCACAGCAUUCAUUAGCACAGAGUUCUUAGGGAUUUUGUUUCUUCUGUUAUUUUUGUGGGGUUUUUUAACUCUAAAAGAAGAGAUUUAAAGUCAUCUAAUUAAAGUUAUCUACUGAUUUACUGGAAGAUCUGAUAUAUAAAAGUACAUAAUUUUCCUUUCAUCAUCGACAAAUCUGUCUGUUGUAUUGGUUUUGGGCCCUAGAAGUUAGUUUUUGCAUUCUUUUUUAUUGAUCCAUUAGCACAAAAAACUUUCUUCCUUUUCCCCAUUAGUACAUUAGUAACUUAAGAAAUUUAAGUGUCCGUGUGACAUUGGGGGAAGGUACAGAAAGGCUCGCAGUUUGUUACUUGUAGGACUGACUUUAGGAAGAGUCUAUAGUAGUUGAUGAGAGCGCUGGGACGGACUGACCUGCUUCGGCAGUGUCAAAAUUGGACCAACAAUGGCAAAGAAAAAGUACACUUGGAGAGAGCACCCACCUUUUCUUUACCAUCACAAACUCCUGUGUGGGUUCAUCUCCCAUUACUACCAUCUUGGCUUAAUCCCUUCAUCAGAAACUCCUAGCAGGGCUCAUUUUCUACCACUUUUACCCUAAAUCUGGGAACUGUAAGCACUGUAAUGUAGUCCCAUCUUUCACCAGCCCAGUCUUAUUUCACUGCAGUAACUCAAAGAAAGUAUUUCAUAAAAAAGAAUGGAAGUAGAUCUUCCAUCAUCCUGCAAGAUCAGUAGUGUGCCUGCAAUACCCAGCUUCUCUUUAAUAGCUUUCAGUUACUUGUAAUGUAGGAAUGUAUCACGUCUUCUAGGUCUUGUUAAUAUUGUUAUUCUUCAGUUCUCCUAAGAGCAUAUUUCACAUAUGGUAUCAACAUUGCCUUUUUGGACCUGUUUUCUCAUCUAGAAAGUAGAAGAUAAUAAAGGCUGUGUAAACAAACACUUGCAACCCCCUUCUCCCAGUUUUCUGUAAAAAUACCCAUGAAAACAUUUAAGUAAAAAAAAAAAAUUGGUAUCAUUCAUAGAAACUUAGAUAAGAAUAGUCGAUACUAGAAAAAAUUUUUACUAAGUAAAGCAGUAAGGUGUGGAUUUUUUUUAAAAUGGCUGGCUCAAAUUCCACAUGGAAACAACUUGUCAUGUAAAACAAGAUGAUACCUUAGCUUCCCCCCUUUUAACACAAUUAACGUAUGUAUAAGAAGGCUGGACUAAUAAUUUGAGACAGCUGUUGAGAGUCCCAUCAGAAAAGGCUUUCAUUCUGCAUUUCUUAACUAGUGACACUGAAACUGCACUAUCUUGGAGUUCUGGUUCCAAGAGAACCACAACUGGCAUUCACCUUGGGGUGGGGAGGGUCAUAAAAGAGAUCCCACCUAUGACCACAAGAGAAAUGCUGAAUGACAAAGGCAGCAUUAGCAACCCAAAAAGAUCUUUUAGCUCCUGCCCAUCGGCAGAUUAAGAAUACUUACAGCAGGAUUGUUUUUAAGUAUUCUUUCCAGCCUCUGCCCUAAGAACUUUGGUCUUAUUGCCAGGAAAUCCCUUACCCUCUUCCACCCUAAGGCUAGAUCUGAUGGACGUCCUCGGAUUUCCUGGAGGAAUGAAAUGUGUCUGACAUUUCUGACCAUGUGCUUGAUAUUAUAUCAGCACUUGAGUGGACUGUAAAAGAGCUGAAAGCGAUCCUCAGAGUCUGCCAAUUCUGAAAUCAGCCUAGCUAAAUCUGUCCUCGUUGAGAAAUGGGCAAGAGAUUUGACCUCCUGGCACUUCACAAAAGAAGGCCAAGAAGCGAUUGCAAUUUCUUUUUUUUUUCCUUUCUUUUUUCUUUUUUUUCUUUUGGCAGAGGAAGAGAGGAUUGGGUAAAUUCCUUAGCUUUUAUAAAGAAACAUUAAAACAUGUUUUUUACUUUGACUGUUAAUGUAAGUUGAAGAAUCUUUUUAAAAUCUGUUAAAUGCUCAAUAAUAUUAGUCAUCAAGGAAAUGCACAUUAAAACUACAGUAAGAUACCCUUACACUGCUAAAAACAGCAAAAAUUAAGAUAUCAACAAUACCAGGUGUUGGUGAGAGUGUGGAGCAACAGGAUCUCUCAUAAACUGCUUUGGAAGUAUUUGACAAAUACCUGUUAAUGUUAAAACGUGCGUCUACGCUCAGCUCAGCAGUUCCACUUCUAAGCAUGUAUCCAAAAGAGAUAAGAAAGUAUGUGUACAAAAAAAACAUACAAGCAUUACUGGUAAUAGCCUCAAAGUGGAAACAACCCCAGUGUCCAUCAACAGAAUGGAUACAGUGAAGUACAGGAAAUGAGCUAACUCUUGCUACAUGUAACAAUUUGGAUGAAUAUCAUAACUGUGUUGACAGACCAGCCAACAAAAGACAAUGCUGUAUGAUUCCCACUUAUGAAAGGGUUCAGAAACAAAACCUAGGCAGAAUUGAAUGGGGAAGAGUCACAAAGGGAUGAAGGGGGCUUAUGAUGUACUGGUAAUCUUGUCUUUCCUGACCAGUGUGGUGAUAACUUUUUGAAUUGUGCUUUCUAUAGUUUAUGCAUUUUUUUGUAUUUGUCUUAUAAUUCAUUUAAAGUUUUGGUUUCUUAACGCAUUAAGCAGUAUCAACAUGAGGCUAAUGGGACAGACACUCCUGCAGUGUGAGAGAAGAGCAAUAUCCUAAGGCAUUUAAAAGGAAGGGCUUUCUGUAUGCAUCCAAUUCAUUUAAAGCAAGGAAGUAUUAGAAAAUAUCUGCUUCAGCUCCUGCUCUGGUACAACAGGGCAUGACAAGGACAAGGACAUGAGAAGAGUAAGAGAGGAAAGGAAAGAGAGGAGCUAAAUUAAAAGUUGUGUCAGAAACAGCAAAUAGUCACAGAUUAAAGAAAAUCUAACCCAUAAUGAAGAACGAUGAAUAUCAAACUGCUUUCAGAGCGCCAUGGGCUCUCAUGAACCAACAAAGAGAAGACAGAAGGGUUCCCCCAACUUGUUCAUCAACCAGAAUUAAAGCUACCUUCAUCAGUGUUAUCUACUGUGCUUAAUAAGCUCUCCUUUAAGGGAUUCUGCAACUUAAAUAAGUUACAAUGAAUCAAAAGCACCCUCAGAUGAAUAUAGUGAGAGAAAAGGUGGAGAUUUAAAAGGCUGACUAUGAAGGUUCAUCCUUUGAAUAAUAGAUGUUCCCAAAGAAGACGACAAGACAAAUUAAACAAUAAAUAGCUUUAAUAGAAGAAACCUUGAUUUUAAAAAGUGCUCAAGUCUGAAGAUCCUCUUCUGUACAUUAGAUGCCAGCUAGAAUGGAGCAGUGUCUACAGAGUUGUGUAGUUCAGGAUUUCUCUACUCAUCCAGAUGUGAAGGUAACAGAAAAGGAUUCUGUGAUGUGCAGCGUACUACUCAUUUUCCCUUUACAGAAAAAAACUACUUGAAUAUAAUCAGUACGCUACCAGAAUGAAUCAAAAUUCAGAGUAGAAGAAUGAGGAAAGAAAGACCAGUCGGUGAGUAUUGAAAUCAGUGCAACUGUUAGAGUAAUACAGAUAAUUAUUGUAAAUGUAAUGCUUAAAGCAAGAGAUUUAUUAAAUUAUCUCAAAAUCUUUAAGUGAGGUUUAUUACCUCAGAUUAAGUUAAUGAAGGCUAAGAAGGGAUGGCAGUUUCUUUUUGGGGGGAUGAAGUGAAAAGUAAAAUUCUUAUCUUUUGUAAAGAAAAAUUAAAACUGUUUUUUACUUGGAAAGUUAAGUGUAAGUUUAACAAUCUUGUGAAAUCUGUCAAGGUGGAUAACAAUAAAAUUAAUAACAGAAUGUCUCCUGUCCAAAUCCUUGAAAAAGACAUAAGUGAAACUGUAUAUGAAAGUCAAAAGAAAAAGGGAAAGCACUUAAGAUUAAAACUGUUUAGCUUGUUUAAAUUCUAAAAACAAAGUGAAAUAAUUAGCCUCUUCCAAGAGACUUACCUUUAAAUCAA